rnacentral:rRNA from 1 species
AGAGUUUGAUCAUGGCUCAGAUUGAACGCUAGCGGGAUGCUUUACACAUGCAAGUCGAACGGCAGCACGAGAGAGCUUGCUCUCUUGGUGGCGAGUGGCGGACGGGUGAGUAAUAUAUCGGAACGUGCCCAGUAGCGGGGGAUAACUACUCGAAAGAGUGGCUAAUACCGCAUACGCCCUACGGGGGAAAGGGGGGGAUCGCAAGACCUCUCACUAUUGGAGCGGCCGAUAUCGGAUUAGCUAGUUGGUGGGGUAAAGGCUCACCAAGGCAACGAUCCGUAGCUGGUUUGAGAGGACGACCAGCCACACUGGGACUGAGACACGGCCCAGACUCCUACGGGAGGCAGCAGUGGGGAAUUUUGGACAAUGGGGGAAACCCUGAUCCAGCCAUCCCGCGUGUAUGAUGAAGGCCUUCGGGUUGUAAAGUACUUUUGGCAGAGAAGAAAAGGCAUCCCCUAAUACGGGAUGCUGCUGACGGUAUCUGCAGAAUAAGCACCGGCUAACUACGUGCCAGCAGCCGCGGUAAUACGUAGGGUGCAAGCGUUAAUCGGAAUUACUGGGCGUAAAGCGUGUGUAGGCGGUUCGGAAAGAAAGAUGUGAAAUCCCAGGGCUCAACCUUGGAACUGCAUUUUUAACUGCCGAGCUAGAGUAUGUCAGAGGGGGGUAGAAUUCCACGUGUAGCAAUGAAAUGCGUAGAUAUGUGGAGGAAUACCGAUGGCGAAGGCAGCCCCCUGGGAUAAUACUGACGCUCAGACACGAAAGCGUGGGGAGCAAACAGGAUUAGAUACCCUGGUAGUCCACGCCCUAAACGAUGUCAACUAGCUGUUGGGGCCGUUAGGCCUUAGUAGCGCAGCUAACGCGUGAAGUUGACCGCCUGGGGAGUACGGUCGCAAGAUUAAAACUCAAAGGAAUUGACGGGGACCCGCACAAGCGGUGGAUGAUGUGGAUUAAUUCGAUGCAACGCGAAAAACCUUACCUACCCUUGACAUGUCUGGAAUGCCGAAGAGAUUUGGCAGUGCUCGCAAGAGAACCGGAACACAGGUGCUGCAUGGGUGUCGUCAGCUCGUGUCGUGAGAUGUUGGGUUAAGUACCGCAACGAGCGCAACCCUUGUCAUUAGUUGCUACGCAAGAGCACUCUAAUGAGACUGCCGGUGACAAACCGGAGGAAGGUGGGGAUGACGUCAAGUCCUCAUGGCCCUUAUGGGUAGGGCUUCACACGUCAUACAAUGGUCGGGACAGAGGGUCGCCAACCCGCGAGGGGGAGCCAAUCUCAGAAACCCGAUCGUAGUCCGGAUCGCAGUCUGCAACUCGACUGCGUGAAGUCGGAAUCGCUAGUAAUCGCGGAUCAGAAUGUCGCGGUGAAUACGUUCCCGGGUCUUGUACACACCGCCCGUCACACCAUGGGAGUGGGUUUCACCAGAAGUAGGUAGCCUAACCGCAAGGAGGGCGCUUACCACGGUGGGAUUCAUGACUGGGGUGAAGUCGUAACAAGGUAACCGU